rnacentral:misc_RNA from 1 species
AAUUCUCAAACCUUCUUGGUUUCUUGACCAAGAUGGCUUUGGACUUUGGAGGCGUUUUGCUGGCUUUGGUCCCCUUUGCCGAUCCCCAGGCGUGAUAAGAUGUUUCUACGUCUGGGAUUUGCUCUGUUUCCUUGGGAACCCGCUUCCAACCGUCUCAUGGGAGACGUCGUUCGAGCUUGCUCGACCCACGAA